rnacentral:rRNA from 1 species
UACAGGGGGUGCAAACGUUGCUCGGAAUCAUUGGGCGUAAAGCGCACGUAGGCGGUUCGUUAUGUCGGAUGUGAAAGCCCUUGGCUUAACCGAGGAAGUGCAUCCGAAACUGGCGAGCUAGAGUACGAAAGAGGAUCGCGGAAUUCCUGGUGUAGCGGUGAAAUGCGCAGAUAUCAGGAAGAACACCCGUGGCGAAGGCGGCUCUCUGGGACGGUACUGACGCUGAGACGCGAAAGCGUGGGGAGCGAACAGG